CAGAGCAUGAAGGGCAAAAGCAAAAGUAGUCAUGACUUGCUUAAGGAUGAUCCACAUCUCAGUUCUGUUCCAGUUGUAGAAAGUGAAAAAGGUGAUGCAGCAGAUUUAGAUGAUGAUGGAGAAGAUGAAAGUGCAGAGCAUGAUGAAUAUAUUGAUGGUGAUGAAAAGAACCUGAUGAGAGAAAGAAUUGCCAAAAAAUUAAAAAAGGACACAAGUGCGAAUGUUAAAUCAGCUGGAGAAGGAGAAGUGGAGAAGAAAUCAGUCAGCCGCAGGUGAGUCAGUUACUGUGCUAGAUAUCAGAGUUUUUGUCUUUUUAUAUUUCACUUUAAUUCAGAUUGAAUCCUCUCUUCAGCUAAUUUUUAAAAUACUAUUUUCAUAAUGUUUGAUAAACAUAACAGUUGUACAAAUUGGCCCAUUAGCAGGCCUAAAAUAAAAUACACCAAGCUUAAAGUAAACAUAGCAAUGAUCCUAUGAGUUCAAUUCCAUUUUAUUUCUCUCUGAUCCUUUUUUAGAAAGGCUCUAUACUUUCAUAUAUAUAGGGUAAUAAUGUAUUAGCUAGAUGUGGAAGAAUGCAUUUGUUAAAUACCAAUGAGAGCAGUAGAGUAAUUGUAUAGAAAGAAAAGAGACAUCCUCAAAUAAUUUCGGUGAGCAAAAUUUGUCAAAACUGAUGAAGAAAAUGAGUGAGCCUGAAAACAUUCUUAAAUAUCUUUUCAAGUCUGAUUUACCAAAUACCAUAUACCUAUCCUAAGCUCAGUAGUAUCACAAAAUAAAUUUCAGCAAAUGGUGAAAAGUU
rnacentral:sRNA from 1 species